CUAGAGAAUGACGAGACCGCCAGGUGGCUUCGGUUGCCUGGGAGAGUCGAGUCCACAAAUAGCGAGUUCAGCGCGCCCACACUUAUCGGCUGUAGACACACAACAGUGAGUGAGAAAAAACGCGUGAGCCUGGCGAGCUGGCCUUGCCGGUUGGCGCGAUGCAGGGGCACGCAAGAGAUGCGUGGGUCUGUAGCUCAGUCGGUUAGAGCACCGUCUUGAUAAGGCGGGGGUCGCUGGUUCGAAUCCAGCCAGACCCACCACGAGGAUCGACAAGAUCUUGGGGGAUUAGCUCAGCUGGGAGAGCACCUGCUUUGCAAGCAGGGGGUCGUCGGUUCGAUCCCGUCAUCCUCCACCAAUCACUUCACAGGGUGGCAAACCACAGCGUCAGGACUGGACGCUGUGGUUUGCCAGUCUCGACUUUGAAAGUCGGCUGUUGUUCUUUAACAAUUCGUAGAGUCGAAUCAGCGUUGCUGGCGGAAAGCUGGCGCUCGUAAAGGGGCGCUCGGCACCGUGCCGCCAGCGACAUUUGAUUGCGUCACCAGACUUCAACUCUGAAAUUCAGAGAAGAAAUUGAAGAACGGCGAAAACGCGUGAUACUCAAUGAAUGCUCGAGUUGUCGAGCAUCUGUCCUUGACGACAUCUGCGGAUGUCAAAGUUAUAG
rnacentral:tRNA from 1 species